GCCAGCAGCUAGCUCUCUGCAACUCUCACAUGGUCGCCCACUGAAGCUAAGCAGGGCUGCGCCCGGUCAGUACCUGGAUGGGAGACCACAUGGGAAAGCUAGGUUGCUGCUGGAA
rfam:Danio rerio chromosome 14, GRCz11 reference primary assembly.